rnacentral:sRNA from 1 species
UCUCGAUCAAGGAAGCUGGAGCCGGGAU